ensembl:lncRNA
AGAUUUGUCCCUCAAGUCCUAAAUAUUUGCUUAUGGCUUCUAUUGAUUGUAAUAAUGAUUAAUGUCUUCAGAUGAGGUUUCUGUGAAAAUCGGUGAGGAGCUGAAGUUGGAUGUUCUGUUGCCAAACGCUGAUGAAGUGCAGCAUCAGAGCAGAAGAAGCACAGGUUGGAAGGAGAUCUGGAGAAGAACUGAUGGAGUUCAGAGAGAACGGAUCUCCAUCAGAGAUAGAAACCUAAUCAUUAAAGAGUUUACACUCAGAGACGCAGGAUCAUACAUAGUUCUGGACCCUGAUGGAGAAAUCUUGAUCGCAGUGAAAGUCAGAGCUGAAAAACUGAACUGACGAGAACUGAUGACACAAGACAACGGACUCUCCUCCUUCUGCCUUUAUAAUGUCAGAUUUUCCCAUAAAACCCCCGUCUGUGUUUCUGGAUCUGGCACGGAUUCGCCUUCACAGCCAACAGAUCUGACUGAAAGUUGUUUUGCUCAUAUUCAGAGUCGUGCAGCGUUCAGUCAGUGCACAAUGUUACAGUGUUUCAGGGCACAACACAAUAAGUAUUGGAUGCUGCUGUUUUGCACAUUGUAAUAUAACUAUUUUUUAUACUGUACAGCACGUAUUAUUCCAUUUUGAAUAAUUCAGGUGGAAUAGCAUUUCACUGUAACGUUCUGUCAGUGUUUGAUGUUUAUUUAUAUUAUUAUUUAAUAUUUAUACUGAAUAUAAUAUAAAUACACUGAAUACUUUACAUGGUGUUCGAUAACAGGUCAAAACAUUGCCAAAUUUGGCUACGUUUUUAACCUUUUUUGCAAUGUAAACCGGCUCGGCUGUUGUAACUUCAAUGGUCAAGGCCUCCGCUUUCAGUUAUCCACAGCAGUCAACAGCAGAUACGCUAGUUAUACUGCAAAUGGUAUUUCUUACAUUAUUAUAAUUUAUUGUUGUAAUUACUAAUAAAAAAAUAAUAAUGUAUAGCCUGAAUGCA